GCUUGUAUCCCUCAGAAAGCUGGUGACUCCAGAGGCAGCCCUGGCUGGGGACCAUGGCAGAGGACAGCAGGAAAACAAGGUCCCUGCUCCUCCAGAGCACCACUGCUGGGUGAGUUUAAAAACCCAAGGGAGCAAUUUAGGGGCAAAAAAAGUUUAUUGAUCUUGCAUGUCACAGGAAUAGAAUACACCCAGAGGGAAACAAUACUCCCAUUUUGAAUAUCAUCAUUUGGAAGACAUCGGCACAGCAGAUACACAUUGCUUCAUAAAACUUUUGUCAUAUGUAUCUUAUUUCUCAUUAAAAAACUGUUUUUAGUACUGAGGAUUGAACACACUCUGAACAUCCUUAGCCCUUUUAAUUUUUUGAGAUGGCAUCCAAAUUGCCCAGGAUUGGCUCAAACUUGCAGUUUGAGCUGCCUCAGCCUUUGAGUGUUGGGAUUAUAGGUGCAUAUCGUCAUACCUGGCUAAGAACUGAUUUCUUAGAUCACCUUUAAAAAAACACUGCCACUGAAUUCUCUGGAAGGGCAAAUCCCCAGUCAGAGCUGCAGGGGUUAAAAAGAAUUAACUACUGAUUUCCUCCCUGCCUGGUAACUGGACCCAGGGCCUCAUGCACGAUGGUUUAGAACUCUACCAGUGAACUACAUUCCUUUGAUUCUUUAAAUGAAAAAGUCAAUGCUAAGGGGUCCACAGGCCUCAUUUAUCAGUUCCACUAAGAUCUUCAUGAAAGCCAGUUCUAAAUGGGCGAUCCUACUGUGGGAGCUACUUGCCAGAGUUGAGCAGAGUCCUACAUAAUUAAAGUCAGCUUGCACAGCCCAAGAGGGGGAAGUGUAGGACGCAGCUCAGCACUAAGCCCUGGCUCCCGCCUCCCUCAGCGGCUCUGCCUGUCAGAGUGCACAGAGCACGGUGGGCAGCAGGGCCCUGCGCGUUCCUGGCAGGCAGCAUCCUUAGACCUGUCUCUUUCCUGUGCCUUCUCAAGCAGCAUUACAGAAGGAUGUGCACUUCGGCAGCGAGGAACAAAGAAGAGACCAAAACCCCUGAUCACUGUGUGAGUCAUCUGAACUCAAAGGCAGCAGUGUUCCUGCCUGGGUUGCUCUCUGCCUUCGGGUCUGGCUCCUUCUGGUGCUCAGCUGCCCUACGUUUCUGGCUAUGGCUGGAGAGGCACUCCACUGCUAUUGGUAAUGCUGGUGUUUGUGCAAAAUUCAAGAUAAUUAAAAGACAAAUGCCAUUUCACAAACAAGUGUUCCAAAAACAUCGAGCUAAUUAUUAACACAAAAGGAUUUGGUAAGAUAUUCCUUAAAGGAGAGAAGUGCUGUGGCAAAGUCAACCAACCAAAUAACAGAAAAGCAUUAAAGAAAACCAUCACUCACCAAAGUGAAACUUCUGGACCGAGAGCUGCUGCUCCGGCUCUCCAGACUCCCUCCUCUGCUCAAGUCACUGCGUCUGCAGCUGGGUGACAUGUCAGAGUCCAUCUCGAGAGAGUCCGACUGGUGGUGGUAGACAGGCAUCCCCACAGGAACCUCAGGUGCUGGCUUGUUCACAGGAAGCGGGGCAGGGGCCGGGGCCCCAUCCUGAAGCAGAAGGGCGCUUCUAGAGAAAGCAAACACGGAACGCAACAGUCAGCACACCCAGCCAGUAAAAUGCUGUACUGUCAGCUUUCUGUCACUGGGACGAAACACCGACACUCGCAAUUCAAAGGCAGAGAGGUUUAUUUCGGCUCACGGUUCCAGAGGUUUAGUCCAUGAUCCAACGGCCCCAAGGCAGAAACAUCUCGGCAGAAGGGUGAGGCAGAGCAAAGCUGCUCACCUCAUGGCGUGGGAAAGCUGGAGAGGCAAGGGCUGGGCACCAGAUCUAGUCCCCAGGGUCCUGUCUGCAUGACUCACUUCCUCCAACGGGGCCCCCACACCCCUCAUGCUAUGAACUUGACAGUGGGUCAACCCAUCCAUGAGAUUAGAGACCUCACGAUCUAAUUACCUCCCCUGUAGUCUCUUAGUCCAAGUUAACAAUCAAGAUUGAACAGCACGAACGCCUUAUCCAUUGGACGCAGACGGUCAGCAUGCGCAGUAUUCAUCUGCACUCAGACUCAACCAUUACAGCAAAAGUAAUCAGGAAACAGCUUGUUUGGGGGUGCUGGUUUCUGUUUCUCCUUCACAUUGUUACCCAUUCUGAAGAUGUAAGAGUGAUUUUUAAGGAAAGACAGAUGUACUCAAACUUACUCUGGGGCUGAAAUGAUGCUUUAACAUCACACAGUGGAAGGAGGUUCUGUGUUCUCCUGCUUGCUCACAUUCACACUUUCCCUGGGUUUCUUUUUUUUUUUUUGCCUCAGGCACCACAAAACUGGCUCCUUCCCAGCUUACUGCAGCUCAGAGUUAAGUAAAGUGACAAAAAACUAAGACGUCAUCGAUGGAAAUUAGCUGAUGUCUUCAGGCUUGAAGACUCUUUGGAACCUGAUGUGACUGCAACCUCCACAUGAAAAGUAAAGUACCCUAAGUUAACAGUUACCAGGAAGUUCCUGUCUGUUUUACUUCCAGGAUCAAAGACAUGAAAAGUGUUCUUUCUAAUCUCUUAGAGUCACACUGUUCUCUGACCCCUUUAUAGCAGGAAAUUCAGCUCAGCUCCUGAACAACAACUGCAUUCUGCAGAACAUUCUAGAAGACCAAAGAAGAUGACUAUCUCCUGUUGAUUCAUAUUAAUAGAUACAUGACCAUUUAUGGUCUAAUCAAUAUUAAACACACCUUUAGGGGAACUCUGUAUCACCAAGACUUCAAAAAUUAUUAUGAAAACUUUCUUAGAAAAAUCCCACAGACAUCUCUCUCAAAACAGACUUUAUUUUAUUUAUUUAUUUUGGAGACUGGGUUUUUCUAAGUAGUACGGGCCUUGAACUCACUUAUGUAGCCCAGGCUGGCAUCACACUCAUGGUGAUCCUCCUGCCUUAGCCUCCCCAGUGCUGGGAUUAUAGGCAUGUUCCACCACACCUGGUUUAGAAACAGAUUUUUAAAAGUAUUUCUCACCCCAUUUCUCUUUACUUUUCAGGAGAAUCAGUACAGGUCAAAUAGCAAAUUGAGAGCAAGGUUAUGGAACCAGAAGAUUCUGAGAAUAUAUACCUUUUGUAAAUUAUCAUUAUUCCAAAUAGUAAAAAAGAAAAAAAGACCUAAAUGUUAACUAAAUGCCUAAAAUGAACCUAGGAUAAACACUGCGGCUAUAGCAGUGCAUUGACAGCACCGGCUAGAGCACUGUCUGGCGAAAGCAGACAGAGGCCCCCCAGCUAGCUGUCUCCAGGCUCCAAAGAACCAGAGUUCGGUGGGGCAGGCGGUGUGGAAAAGACCGGCUAAUUCUUAAACGCCUCCUAAUUUGCCGAAUCCCACCCCCCGACUCAGCUCCAGCAGCGAACGGCUCCUGGGGACUGGAGGGGGCUCCCACAGGAGUCUGCCCCGCCCACACACCCUGGAGAGGGAACCUGGGGAGGGAAGUGCUGGUGCACCCACACAGCCCAGGAGCUGGGACGCGCAGUCAGAGUGGGGCUCACGCUGGGCAGCGAGAGCAGCCACUGGCCGCCCUGAGCGUGGCCCAUGGUGUCAGCCUCUUGGGAGUCACCUCUUCCGGGUGCUGUUACAACUUAAGAGCUGUGAAACUGUAAUAUUUAGGCUGCUGUAUACGAUUCUUCUGAAAGAAUAUGAGGAAGCCAACCAGGAUCU
rnacentral:lncRNA from 1 species